rnacentral:rRNA from 2 species
ACCGCAUGGUCCGAGCUUGAAAGAUGGCUUCGGCUAUCACUUUUGGAUGGUCCCGCGGCGUAUUAGCUAGAUGGUGGGGUAACGGCUCACCAUGGCAAUGAUACGUAGCCGACCUGAGAGGGUAAUCGGCCACAUUGGGACUGAGACACGGCCCAAACUCCUACGGGAGGCAGCAGUAGGGAAUCUUCCACAAUGGACGAAAGUCUGAUGGAGCAACGCCGCGUGAGUGAAGAAGGGUUUCGGCUCGUAAAACUCUGUUGUUAAAGAAGAACAUAUCUGAGAGUAACUGUUCAGGUAUUGACGGUAUUUAACCAGAAAGCCACGGCUAACUACGUGCCAGCAGCCGCGGUAAUACGUAGGUGGCAAGCGUUGUCCGGAUUUAUUGGGCGUAAAGCGAGCGCAGGCGGUUUUUUAAGUCUGAUGUGAAAGCCUUCGGCUCAACCGAAGAAGUGCAUCGGAAACUGGGAAACUUGAGUGCAGAAGAGGACAGUGGAACUCCAUGUGUAGCGGUGAAAUGCGUAGAUAUAUGGAAGAACACCAGUGGCGAAGGCGGCUGUCUGGUCUGUAACUGACGCUGAGGCUCGAAAGUAUGGGUAGCAAACAGGAUUAGAUACCCUGGUAGUCCAUACCGUAAACGAUGAAUGCUAAGUGUUGGAGGGUUUCCGCCCUUCAGUGCUGCAGCUAACGCAUUAAGCAUUCCGCCUGGGGAGUACGGCCGCAAGGCUGAAACUCAAAGGAAUUGACGGGGGCCCGCACAAGCGGUGGAGCAUGUGGUUUAAUUCGAAGCUACCCGAAGAACCUUACCAGGUCUUGACAUACUAUGCAAAUCUAAAAAAAUAAGACGUUCCUUUCGGGGACAUGGAAUACAGGUUGGGGCAAGGUUUUUCCUCCGCUCCGUGCCGGGAGAAUGUUGGGUUUAAGUCCCCGCA